rnacentral:misc_RNA from 1 species
AAUGUCGUAACAAGGUUUCCGUAGGUGAAUCCUGCGGAAGGAUCAUUAUUUGGGGGUGUUCAGGAACCCUAGGUCACCCCCUAAAACGCCUUGAAAAUAUUAGCGGAAAUGGGGCCAGUAAUACAAUCGCAUGACGUUUGAAUCCAAGGGGCCAGCUAACCCGUGUUAUAUCUCUGUGCUUUCCGGGCGUCAUACCCCCGGAGAAACCCCAACUCUUGAAUUUUUAUGGAAGUCUGAGACUAUAUAAUAGUUAAAAU